rnacentral:rRNA from 1 species
AGCGAACGCUGGCGGCAGGCCUAACACAUGCAAGUCGAGCGGCCGUAGCAAUACGGCAGCGGCAGACGGGAGAGUAACACGUGGGAACGCGCCCUUCGGUUCGGGAUAACUCAGGGAAACUUGGGCUAAUACCGGAUACGCCCUUACGGGGAAAGAUUUAUUGCCGAAGGAACGGCCCGCGUCCGAUUAGCUUGUUGGUGAGGUAACGGCUCACCAAGGCGACGAUCGGUAGCUGGUCUGAGAGGAUGACCAGCCUCACUGGGACUGAGACACGGCCCAGACUCCUACGGGAGGCAGCAGUGGGGAAUAUUGGACAAUGGGCGCAAGCCUGAUCCAGCCAUGCCGCGUGGGUGAUGAAGGCCCUAGGGUUGUAAAGCCCUUUCAGCGGGGAAGAUAAUGACGGUACCCGCAGAAGAAGCCCCGGCUAACUUCGUGCCAGCCGCCGCCGUAAGAC